AGUGGAGACAUUUCCAAAUCACAACAUGUCUCCUUUAGCUCUUCUGCUGCUGCUGGCAGCUGGAUCCUGUGUGAUUUGUGAACAGCUGACACAGCCGGACUCUGUAAAUGUGCAUCCAGGUCAGCCUCUCACCAUCACCUGUCAGGUAUCUUAUUCUGUUACGAGCUACUGGACCUGCUGGAUCCGACAGGCAGCAGGGAAGGGACUGGAGUGGUUUGGAUGCAGAGUUGGCUCAUCUACAUCCUACAAAGAUUCACUGAAAAAUAAGUUCAGUAUUGACAUAGAUUCCUCCAGGAACACAGUGACUCUUAAAGGCCAGAACAUGCAGUCUGAAGACACUGCUGUGUAUUUCUGUGCAAGAGACCGCACCAUAACACAAAACAUCAGACGACCAAACAAAAUCCCCUGAGGUCUCAAAGACACCAGAGGGGGAGCCCUCCCUUCAAAUAAACCAACGUAUGCCUCAGCUUAGGAAAAUUAGAAAAGAAAGUGAUAGCACAUAUGAAAAUUGCAAAUAUUUACAGCCAUAUAAUUUGCUGAUAAAAAGAAGCAUGCAAAUAAGUUAUAUGUUUCAAACAGUUUGUCUUUUGGUGCAGAAUUUGCUUUUAGUUCUCUCUUAUUGCAGGGACGAUUUACAGCGGGAGUGCUUUAGUGUUAGGCUUGACACAAGCAUUUUGCCCCCUUAAUUAUUUUAAAAGAAAAAGUUAUUUACUUAUGUAAAGAAAAUAUUUAACUUGAUAAAGAUACAUAGUCAUGUUAAAAAGGUUUU